GAUUUAAAUAUGAUUAACUCGUACAGAAACGUGUAUAAGGCCUGUUAGUCAUGAUUUAAAUAUGAUUACAGGCCUCUGUAUAAAAACAUGAACACUUUUACACCGAAACAAAAGCAGCAAUUCACAUGUACGCACCCAAGUCACGAUAAAAUGCAAACAUUUUUGACAUUUAGUGUAUAAAUGUGUAAGAAAUCGUUCAUCACAAGCAGUUUAGAAGUACCGUAUACAUUUUCAUUUGAGGAUAAUAAAUAAAUACUCAAGAAAAUAAGAAAUAUAUAUCUGAGAUGUAUGCAGAAGAAAGUACGCUUUCUGCCUCGGUUGGUUACAGAAGUGUUUAACAUUAGUGUUUACAGUGUUGUACACAAAUUGCUGUUCAAGUUAAAUGUAUUACACAGUAUUUCCCCCAUUCUAGCCAGGCAGUAGGAACAGUGGGUUCCGAACCUAGGGGUCCGGGCUACCCUUGGGUUCCCCUUAUAAGAAGAUGGGGACCGCAGGAGCCUGCUUAUAAGCUAUAGAUAUUAGGCUACAGAGGGGUCUCACUUGGAACGGUCCUGUUUCUAUCAACAGUCUAAUGAUUCGUAAGGUAGUCAACUACCAGGUGCUACUGUAGUGGGUCGGCGAUGCGCAUGUGUUCACCGGGGCGUUGAUGAAUUUGGGAGGCGAGACCCAUCAGACCCACAGUGGGGUCCCCCAGCUGUGGGUCCCCCCACUGCGGUAGGACGGCCCAAUCCAUGUAAGACGGAGAACGUUAUGAAUUAAUCUCAGCUGUUCUGCAGUGAAACCAUUUGUGCUUUGCUUAACAUCAUCAAUCCACACGUUGAGAACACGGGUCAAAAAAAGUGGCCGGCAUCGCAGUCUUACUAUGUCUAGAAGGUGAGGUGGGGCCAAACUAAACCCCUGGUACGGUCAUGAAGGAGUCCGCCCCGAUGCACACUGUCCCCGUUGGCCAUCGACGAAGAAGCUUUGUGUCCUGGUGCAGAGACGCUGACGAUACAGCAGAGGAAGGGCUGCCGAUAUCGACCCGGAACGGAGUCCAUCAGAUAGCGGUCAAAGCUCUCUCCCCUCACGGUUUCGGCUGACACAACGGGCGUCCAGGGCGGUAGUCACUGCGAGACGCCUCAAUUUGUCGUGUUCCGGCCGCCGCCAUAACAACAAUGUGAGAGGUAGAGACAAAAUGGAAGAAUGCUUCUGAGGCUACAAAACGCCGCUCAGUGAAACCGGAGCCACACUCGUCCCCCAAUAAGACACGGAGCGUUGGAGCGGGUUUGCCUGGGCGUGUGUCCAAGUGUCUGUGUGUGAGUCGGUAUAACACCUGGGGACGGUCCGUGGAGACCCAGGUGGGGGUACGAGGUACCCAGGGAGAGUCCGGUGUACGGCUACACAUCCCCCAACCAGUACCCUGACUCCCUCCUGCUGGGCAGAAGUGUGUGUCUGUGUGUGUGUUCACGUUGGUGUGUCUGUGUGGUGUGUGUGCACGUGUGCGUGUGUGGAGGACGGGGGGGUUUUAGUUGCGGUGCAACAGAGCCCUGAGUGGUGCAGGACGACGGCAUCGGUACGAGUCCUGCUGCACUACCUAGCAGAUCUGCCUCUGUCCCGUCGCUGUAAACAUGAACACAGACUGACUGACACACAACAGACAGGGGUAAUGGAUCACAGACUGAUGGAGAGACAGGAGUAAUGGAUAACAGACUGAGGGACAGAGAUAAUGGAUAACAGACUGAUGGACAGACAGGGGUAAUGGGUAACAGACUGAUGGACAGAGGUAAUGGAUCACAGACUGAUAGACAGAGAUAAUGGAUAACAGACUGAUAGACAGACAGAGAUAAUGGGUAGACUGAUA
ensembl:lncRNA